ensembl:lncRNA
GAGCUCAAGGAUUCAAGCGUUGGCCACAAUAGCAGUAACACAGAGCUUCACUGCAUUCUGCUUUGGUUUUGAUGGCUUUCCAUGGUGUGAAAUUGGAGCUCAUUACAUUAAUUGUGCUUUCCUGGAUUCUUUCAUGGGGUGCAUGGAUGGCAGGAAAUGACUUACAGAACAAAAAGCAGUAUUGGAGCACAAUAUGCUUCAGCUUCUGCUCCCCAUGCGUUUCCUGUGAGCUUUUGUUUCAGCAUCUAGGAUCCAUUUCUGGGCCAUAGAAAACUGGCUGCCUGGGAAAAGGGAGAGGUCAGAAAUUCCUCACACCUGAACAGACAACAUAUCCCCAGCACUGCCCCAAAGCAGCAGCCAAAGAGCCACCACCACUAACCAUUGGUUACACUGGAUUUCAGCAGCAGCAAAAGGGUUUUAAUUGGGGUGUAAGAGCAGCAUAUGAAGAUCAAGAAACUGAAAGUGCAGCCCCUGCCCACAGCUAUCCCAGCUCCGCUCCCCAAGGCCCUGCUGUUGCUGUGAUGCUGCACGUUUACAUCAUGUCCUUAUCACAGAUAACGCCAUUUAUUCUGUUUCUUUCUCAGUCACCAUCUCCUUCUCCGUGGCUUUUUUUCCUCCUUGCAGUUUUCUCUCUGCUCUCUAUUGUGUGCAUACAAUGGCCCCUCUCUGUUCUCCACAGACUCCAUUGUGCUGUAAUUGCUCUCCUAUCUCUAAGGAAGGGAAAAUUCAUUCUGAUUUGAUCACAUUAUUUUUCUCUGUAUAACUGAUAAAUUUCUCCAUUAAUCCAUCUGUUUGCAGUGGUGUAUCUGGGUGCAGCGUGAAUAAACCUCCUUACAUAACAGCAUGUCCAAUUACAAAUUUCCCUGCAACCCAAUCUCCUCGGUGUUAACACACUUACUGCCUUAUCUCCUCACUCUGAAGUUGACGCUGAGCUGUGGAGAACUCUCCCAGAGCAGUGCCACCAGCUGGGAUGGUUCCAGAUGGAACCCCACUGAUUGUACCCCGUGGGCCCAACCCGUCAGCCAACUGCUCACCCACUGCACGAAGGUUUUGUCUGGAAUAUAAUUUAAAAGAGCCCCAAAAUGACCCCAGCACAGCCACAAAUGACUUAAAAGCAGCUCCCAAAUGGCACCAAAAUAAUCUCCCAAAAAAAACAGCCACAAAAUGGCUCCAGAAUGGCACCACGGGAACAAACAGACUCAUUUCCCACCCCAGGCACACACAGACCCCUCCUCAUUGCCUCCUCACUCACACUCACACACCAUCCCUACACUCACACCGGGACCCCCUCCCCUUCUCACCCUCCCGCUGCUGCCCCACUCCAGCCCCUCAUCCCGCUCCCCUCUUUGCAGGGGAUUCCUCACUUUCCCCAGCUACGAUCCAGUCGCACCAAUUUCCAUAAUAACAAUAUUUUUGCAACAGAAAUUGUAUUACAGUAGAGCCACUGUUGUUAGAGCUGUUAUUAUCCCACGAUCACUACCAGGAUAGAGCUGCGCUCAUUACACCAGCAGUAAACUCAGUCUGGUGAGAGCUUGGCACAAGGAGCUGGGACUGAAUCUGCCCUCUGGGGUCUGGAACUUUGGGUUCUUUCUAACUCACCAAUUUUACUUCUUUCUGUUAGAAAGCAGAAAGGAGCCAAAGGAGCCGCUGCUGCUAGCACUCCUGAGCUGGUACCAUGCAUAGCACUGGGGCAGCACAGUUCCAGCACUGCAGAUAAAACUCUCAGGUUUUACAAAGUAUUUUAUCAACACAGACUCUUUUAUACUAGUCCAGCAUAAAAGCCAUCAAACUGCAUUAAUAAACCCGGGGAAUUACCUCCUCCCUCAGCCGGGACCCUCACUGGGCCCGGAAUGGAUUCAUUUUAAAUGGGUUAUAAAUUUCUGAUAAAGGAUAUUUCAGAUCCAAAUUGCACAUUUAACGGUGCCUUCACUGCAGUGCUCCACCCCAUCCGCAGGGCAGAGCCCAGGGCUCAGAUCCCCUCCAUCACCAGAGAGGCCCCCAAUCUCUGCUGCUGCCCCGCACUGCUCCCGGGCCCGCAGUACAUCACCAUGGGCUGUGUCAGUGCUGGGAAUACAGUCAGCUUCACCGCCCCAAUGAAUUCAAAUACCAGUGCAGAACUGGAGCAUCUGCAGAACAGGGGAGAGAGGGAGAGACGGAGAGAAAGCAAGUCCUGGCUGGUACCUCUGUCUAAUGCAGGCAUGUCCAACUCACAGCCCAUGGGCUGUAUGCAGCCUGGCACGGCUUGCAGUGCAGCUCUUCCCCUGCCCUGUGCCAUCAUGGUGUCAGCUCUGACCCAACAGAUGGCCCAGCGUGGCCCCAGGCAAAAGCACCCAUCCCUCACAGCACCCACAGUGCAGUGUGUGGUGGACAUCUUUUGGUAUAUUUGCAACUUCCUUUUCAGUUUACAUAAAUGCAUUAGCUGAGAAUUUUCAAAUCAAAUGAAUAGAGCUGAAAUCAGAAAUUCAACUCAGAGCUCUGAUCAUGUCUCUCUACCAGAUCUCUCUUAAGAUAAGACCUUUCUUUCCAGAGAUAGAUAUCCCUCGCUUCACAAUCACACCUUAUUCACGUCAUCACUUUUUGGCAGUAGAUACACUUGGAAAAACCAUUUUGUGAGAUGAAGUACAGGAAGAGCAAAAUUUCAUCACAAAUCUCUGAUCAAAACCACGAGACCUCACUGAGAGCUGCAGCCACUGCCACCGAACCACACCGAUGCAUCAGCUUCACAACUGCAAGGUCACAGAUCCCAGUAGUUUGAUGGCUUUGCUGCUCUCAUUUUUGUUUUAAUAAAAAAAAUAAAAAUUAAAAUAAGCUUUAUUGCUAAUGUACAUUAACUACAUUUUAUAUUUAAUGAGGGCUGCUCCAAAAGUAAUGCCUCCUGUUUCAUGACGUCCACCCACCACAUCAGAGGCGGAUGGUGGUGGUACGGCAGUAGAGGUGGAACCUUCCCACCAAUAUCCCGUUCCAUGUUGUUGCCGUGUGACAGAUGGCAGCAGAGGGGCAGUCUGACACAGCGGUGUCUGACACGGGAGUGCAGAUGAAGCAAAGGUGUGUCACUGAAUUCCUACAUGCAGAACAAUUGUCACCCACUGACAUUCAUUGACAUUUGCUGAGGGUUUCUGGAGACCAAAGAGUGGAUGUGAGCACAGAGAGGGGUGGGUGGUGCAUUUCAGCACUGGUGACAGUGGUCGCCUCCUCUGGUGCAGGUUUUGUCAUGUGCAGCAUGCACCUCUUGUUCACUGCUGGUGAAAAUGCACAGCUAAUGGUGGUGCCUAUGUUGAAAAGCAGUGUUUUGUUGCUGAGAACGUGCUUUAUUCAAUGGUGUUAUUGUGCUCUUUGCAUCUGAUGUAGUUUCCAU